rnacentral:rRNA from 1 species
UCGAUGAAGAACGCAGCGAAAUGCGAUAAGUAAUGUGAAUUGCAGAAUUCAGUGAAUCAUCGAAUCUUUGAACGCACCUUGCGCUCCUUGGUAUUCUGAGGAGCAUGCCUGUUUGAGUGUCAUUAAUAUAUCAACCUCUACAACUUUUGUUUGUUGAGUUGUUGGAUGUGGGGGCUUUUGCUGGCUUCUCUCUGAGGUCAGCUCCCCUGAAAUACAUUAGCGGAACGAUCCCGUUCAUUGGUGUGAUAACUAUCUACGCUAUUGACGUGAAGUAGUUUGGCUUAUAACAGUCCAUUGACUUGGACAAAAUUUUCAUUAAUGUGACCUCAAAUCAGGUAGGACUACCCGCUGAACUUAA